GUGAAAAGCACCCCGGAAGGGGAGUGAAACAGUUCCUGAAACCGUGUGCCUACAAGUAGUUAGAGCCCGUUAAUGGGUGAUAGCGUGCCUUUUGUAGAAUGAACCGGCGAGUUACGAUUUGUUGCAAGGUUAAGCGGAAAAAGCGGAGCCGUAGCGAAAGCGAGUCUGAAUAGGGCGCAUAAGUAACAGGUCGUAGACCCGAAACCAGGUGAUCUACCCAUGUCCAGGAUGAAGGUAAGGUAAUACUUACUGGAGGUCCGAACCCACGCACGUUGAAAAGUGCGGGGAUGAGGUGUGGGUAGCGGAGAAAUUCCAAUCGAACUUGGAGAUAGCUGGUUCUCUCCGAAAUAGCUUUAGGGCUAGCCUCGAGGUAAAGAGUCAUGGAGGUAGAGCACUGUUUGGACUAGGGGCCCUUCUCGGGUUACCGAAUUCAGAUAAACUCCGAAUGCCAUGUACUUAUACUCGGGAGUCAGACUGCGAGUGAUAAGAUCCGUAGUCGAAAGGGAAACAGCCCAGACCACCAGUUAAGGUCCCCAAAUAUAUGUUAAGUGGAAAAGGAUGUGGGGUUGCUUAGACAACCAGGAUGUUGGCUUAGAAGCAGCCACCAUUGAAAGAGUGCGUAAUAGCUCACUGGUCGAGUGACCCCGCGCCGAAAAUGUACCGGGGCUAAACAUAUUACCGAAACUGUGGAUGAACCUCUUUAGAGGUUCGUGGUAGGAGAGCGUUCUAAGGGCGGUGAAGUCAGACCGGAAGGACUGGUGGAGCGCUUAGAAGUGAGAAUGCCGGUAUGAGUAGCGAAAGAAGGGUGAGAAUCCCUUCCACCGAAUAUCUAAGGUUUCCUGAGGAAGGCUCGUCCGCUCAGGGUUAGUCGGGACCUAAGCCGAGGCCGAUAGGCGUAGGCGAUGGACAACAGGUAGAGAUUCCUGUACCAGUGCUAAUUGUUUAACCGAUGGGGUGACACAGAAGGAUAGGGAAUCGCACGAAUGGAAAUGUGCGUCCAAGCAGUGAGUGUGAGAAGUAGGCAAAUCCGCUUCUCGCGAAGCAUGAGCUGUGAUGGGGAAGGAAAUUAAGUACGGAAGUUCCUGAUUUCACGCUGUCAAGAAAAGCCUCUAGGAAGAGUAGUACUGCCCGUACCGCAAACCGACACAGGUAGAUGAGGAGAGAAUCCUAAGGUGAGCGAGAGAACUCUCGUUAAGGAACUCGGCAAAAUGACCCCGUAACUUCGGGAGAAGGGGUGCUCUAUUAGGGUGCAAGCCCGAGAGAGCCGCAGUGAAUAGGCCCAGGCGACUGUUUAGCAAAAACACAGGUCUCUGCAAAACCGUAAGGUGACGUAUAGGGGCUGACGCCUGCCCGGUGCUGGAAGGUUAAGAGGAGUGCUUAGCUUCGGCGAAGGUACGAAUUGAAGCCCCAGUAAACGGCGGCCGUAACUAUAACGGUCCUAAGGUAGCGAAAUUCCUUGUCGGGUAAGUUCCGACCCGCACGAAAGGCGCAACGAUCUGGGCACUGUCUCAACGAGAGACUCGGUGAAAUUAUAGUACCUGUGAAGAUGCAGGUUACCCGCGACAGGACGGAAAGACCCCGUGGAGCUUUACUGCAACCUGAUAUGGAAUGUUUGUACCGCUUGUACAGGAUAGGUAGGAGCCGAAGAGACGUGUGCGCUAGCAUACGAGGAGGCAAUGGUGGGAUACUACCCUGGCUGUAUGACCAUUCUAACCCGCCACGCUUAGCGCGUGGGGAGACAGUGUCAGGUGGGCAGUUUGACUGGGGCGGUCGCCUCCUAAAGAGUAACGGAGGCGCCCAAAGGUUCCCUCAGAAUGGAUGGAAAUCAUUCGCAGAGUGUAAAGGCACAAGGGAGCUUGACUGCGAGACUGACAAGUCGAGCAGGGACGAAAGUCGGGCUUAGUGAUCCGGUGGUUCCGCAUGGAAGGGCCAUCGCUCAACGGAUAAAAGCUACCCCGGGGAUAACAGGCUUAUCUCCCCCAAGAGUCCACAUCGACGGGGAGGUUUGGCACCUCGAUGUCGGCUCGUCGCAUCCUGGGGCUGUAGUCGGUCCCAAGGGUUGGGCUGUUCGCCCAUUAAAGCGGCACGCGAGCUGGGUUCAGAACGUCGUGAGACAGUUCGGUCCCUAUCCGUCGCGGGCGCAGGAAAUUUGAGAGGAGCUGUCCUUAGUACGAGAGGACCGGGAUGGACACACCGCUGGUGUACCAGUUGUUCCGCCAGGAGCAUCGCUGGGUAGCUAUGUGUGGCAGGGAUAAACGCUGAAAGCAUCUAAGCGUGAAGCCCCCCUCAAGAUGAGAUUUCCCAUUUCUUCGGAAAGUAAGAUCCCUGAAAGAUGAUCAGGUAGAUAGGUUUGGAGUGGAAGUGUAGCGAUACAUGGAGCGGACAAAUACUAAUCGAUCGAGGA
rnacentral:rRNA from 1 species